GCACACAUGGCCUAAAGGAUAAGGCACUGGCCUUCCAAACCAGGUAUUGGGAGUUCGAUUCCCAUCUGGCGCG